rnacentral:rRNA from 1 species
GAUGAACGCUAGCUACAGGCUUAACACAUGCAAGUCGAGGUACCGGCGUACGGGUGAGUAACGCGUCUCCCACCUUCCCAUUACUGUGGGAUAACCUGCCGAAAGGCAGACUAAUACUGCCUAGUAAUGGAUGGGGAUGCGUCUGAUUAGCUUGUUGGCGGGGUAACGGCCCACCAAGGCGACGAUCAGUAGGGGUUCUGAGAGGAAGGUCACCCACAUUGAAACUGAGACACGGUCCAAACGCCUACGGGAGGCAGCAGUGAGGAAUAGUGGUCAAUGGACGGAAGUCUGAACCAGCCAAGUAGCGUGCAGGAUGACGGCAUAUGGGUUGUAAACUAUUUAUGUAUGGGGAUAGGUACCAUAUGAAUAAGAACAGGCUAAUUCCGUGCCAGCAGCCGCGGUAAUUC